UACGGAGGGUGCAAGCGUUGUCCGGAAUCAUUGGGCGUAAAGCGCACGUAGGCGGCUCUUUAAGUCUCUUGGUGAAAGGCUGGGGCUCAACCCCAUGCAUGCCGGGGAUACUGGGGAGCUGGAGACAGGUAGAGGCCAGCGGAAUUCCGGGUGUAGCGGUGGAAUGCGUAGAUAUCAGGAGGAACACCUAUAGCGAAGGCAGCUUGCUGGGACGUUACUGACGCUAAGGCGCGAAAGCGUGGGGAGCGAACAGG
rnacentral:rRNA from 1 species